AACGAACGCUGGCGGCAUGCCUAACACAUGCAAGUCGAGCGCCUGUAGCAAUACAGGAGCGGCGCACGGGUGAGUAACGCGUGGGAACCUGCCCUUAGGUUCGGAACAACCGCGGGAAACUGCGGCUGAUACCGGAUGAUGUCUUCGGACCAAAGAUUUAUCGCCUUUGGAGGGGCCCGCGUCGGAUUAGGUAGCUGGUGAGGUAACGGCUCACCAAGCCUGCGAUCCGUAGCUGGUCUGAGAGGAUGACCAGCCACACUGGGACUGAGACACGGCCCAGACUCCUACGGGAGGCAGCAGUGGGGAGUAUUGGACAAUGGGGGCAACCCUGAUCCAGCAAUGCCGCGUGGGUGAUGAAGGCCUUCGGGUUGUAAAGUCCUUUCGGCGGGGACGAUGAUGACGGUACCCGCAGAAGAAGCCCCGGCUAACUUCGUGCCAGCCGCCGCAGUAA
rnacentral:rRNA from 1 species